GACGAACGCUGGCGGCGUGCUUAACACAUGCAAGUCGAACGCUGAAGCUUGGUGCUUGCACUGGGUGGAUGAGUGGCGAACGGGUGAGUAAUACGUGAGUAACCUGCCCUUGACUCUGGGAUAAGCCUGGGAAACUGGGUCUAAUACUGGAUACGACAUGUCACCGCAUGGUGGUGUGUGGAAAGGGUUUUACUGGUUUUGGAGGGGCUCACGGCCUAUCAGCUUGUUGGGGGGGUAAUGGCCCACCAAGGCGACGACGGGUAGCCGGCCUGAGGGGGUGCCCGCCCACUCGGGGACUGGGCCCCGCCCCAGCCCCCUACGGGGGGCAGCGGUGGGGAAUUUUGCCAAAGGGGCGGAGCCCUGAUGGGGGGCCCCCGCGGGGGGGAUGCCGGCCUUGGGUGUGAAAACCUUUUUCAGCACGGAAAAAGGGAAAGUGGCGGUCCGGUAAGAAGAAGCGCCGGCAAACUCCG
rnacentral:rRNA from 1 species